CACAUUUCAUUGUGAAAACCUUCUAAUUCAUACCUUCAAUUAUUUAAAAGCCUUUAAAAGACCUAUGUAACAAACCUGUAUGUUCUGCACAUGUAUCCCAGAACUUAAAGUAAAAUUUAAGAAAUUAAAAUUAAAUUUUAAAAAACACUUCAAGGUUAAAAAAUAUAUAUGAGCUCCUGUUACUGUUAAUGUAUAUUGGGUUUAAUAUUCUUUUAUACAGAAUUAUGAUGCUUUCUGUUUUGCGUAACACCAAAACACCAGUGAAAUUCUGGUUGCUAAAAAAUUAUCUCUCACCGACAUUUAAAGAAGUAAUUCCUCACAUGGCUAAAGAGUAUGGAUUCCGAUAUGAACUAGUUCAAUAUAGGUGGCCCCGUUGGCUUCGUCAACAGACUGAAAGACAGAGGAUUAUUUGGGGUUACAAAAUUCUUUUCCUUGAUGUUCUUUUCCCACUAGCAGUGGACAAAAUCAUUUUUGUUGAUGCUGACCAGAUUGUGAGACAUGAUCUAAAAGAA
rnacentral:lncRNA from 10 species